rnacentral:lncRNA from 1 species
AAUCAACUAACCUUGUGAGGAGUAAUCCUUAAUUAAACCCCUUUGAGCUUAUUUUAGGAUUCAUUUGAUUGAUCAUUGUAAAAUCAAUUGAAAAUUUUGGAAUAAAUGAAUCCUAAUUUCUUUCGUAUCAAUUGAACCCUCAAACCGAGUUGUUUGCAAAAUUUGCCUUUUGCUUAUGUCUAAGUAGGGAGCAUUAUUGAAUAAAUUUGGUUUUGGAAUCUAAAGUUGGGGAGAGUAA